CUGCAAUGGAAAACGGAGCACGGCCGAGUCAAGUUGAGCCAGAACUCAAGCUACAUUGAAAGUGCAAGUUCAAGUGCCCGCUGGUACCGUUUGAGAGGCCACAGUAACAAGGCGGAUCAAACGAAAGACAAGGGAGCACGCAGAACAUCACUUUCAGCAUUUCUGGCAGAGAGGGAUGGAGUGGGAGCAACACUGAUCAAACACGCUCAUGGACACAGUGCACACAGAGCACGAGGGCGGGGGGGAUUGUGCAGAGGACACUGAUACAUCACAUCAGGACACACUGAGACUUUCAGGACAUGAAAACUGCAUAAGACAUAAAGGGCUUUACAUCAUCUUAAACCUAGUUUGGCAUUUCUAUACGGCAAUGUUACUCAU